rnacentral:rRNA from 1 species
CACAUUCCGAACCCGGAAGCUAAGACUCUUUGCGCCGAUGGUACUGCAGGGGGGACCCUGUGGGAGAGUAGGACACCGCCGGAC